rnacentral:rRNA from 1 species
CCUACGGCGGCUGCAGUGGGGAAUAUUGCACAAUGGGCGCAAGCCUGAUGCAGCCAUGCCGCGUGUGUGAAGAAGGCCUUCGGGUUGUAAAGCACUUUCAGCGGGGAGGAAGGCGUUAAGGUUAAUAACCUUGGCGAUUGACGUUACCCGCAGAAGAAGCGCCGGCUAACUCCGUGCCAGCAGCCGCGGUAAUACGGAGGGUGCAAGCGUUAAUCGGAAUUACUGGGCGUAGAGCGCACGCAGGCGGGCUGUCAAGUCGGAUGUGAAAUCCCCGGGCUCAACCUGGGAACUGCAUUCGAAACUGGCAGGCUAGAGUCUUGUAGAGGGGGGUAGAAUUCCAGGUGUAGCGGUGAAAUGCGUAGAGAUCUGGAGGAAUACCGGUGGCGAAGGCGGCCCCCUGGACAAAGACUGACGCUCAGGUGCGAAAGCGUGGGGAGCAAACAGGAUUAGAUACCCCAGUAGUC